rnacentral:rRNA from 1 species
UCGCAAGACCUCGCGCGAUUGGAGCGGCCGAUAUCAGAUUAGGUAGUUGGUGAGGUAAAGGCUCACCAAGCCGACGAUCUGUAGCUGGUCUGAGAGGACGACCAGCCACACUGGGACUGAGACACGGCCCAGACUCCUACGGGAGGCAGCAGUGGGGAAUUUUGGACAAUGGGCGCAAGCCUGAUCCAGCCAUGCCGCGUGCGGGAAGAAGGCCUUCGGGUUGUAAACCGCUUUUGUCAGGGAAGAAAAGGUUCUGGCUAAUACCUGGGACUCAUGACGGUACCUAAAGAAUAAGCACCGGCUAACUACGUGCCAGCAGCCGCGGUAAUACGUAGGGUGCAAGCGUUAAUCGGAAUUACUGGGCGUAAAGCGUGCGCAGGCGGUUAUGCAAGACAGAGGUGAAAUCCCCGGGCUCAACCUGGGAACUGCCUUUGUGACUGCAUGGCUAGAGUACGGUAGAGGGGGAUGGAAUUCCGCGUGUAGCAGUGAAAUGCGUAGAUAUGCGGAGGAACACCGAUGGCGAAGGCAAUCCCCUGGACCUGUACUGACGCUCAUGCACGA